rnacentral:ncRNA from 2 species
AAGACAGGACGUGGUGAUUUGGCGACCAGCUUGCGGCCACGAUAAAUAAACGGCUAAACGGUUGGAUCCCUGUACCC